AGAGACAGCAGUAGCCGCGGGAAAACGGAGGGUGCAAGCGUUAAUCGGAAUUACUGGGCGUAAAGCGCACGCAGGCGGUCUGACAAGUCAGAUGUGAAAUCCCCGGGCUUAACCUGGGAACUGCAUUUGAAACUGUCAGGCUGGAGUCUUGUAGAGGGGGGUGGAAUUCCAGGUGUAGCGGUGAAAUGCGUAGAGAUCUGGAGGAAUACCGGUGGCGAAGGCGGCCCCCUGGACAAAGACUGACGCUCAGGUGCGAAAGCGUGGGGAGCAAACAGGAUUAGAUACCCCGGUAGUCCCUGUCUCUUAUAC
rnacentral:rRNA from 1 species